UACAGAGAGUGCAAACGUUGUUCGGAAUUACUGGGCUUGAAGCGCACGUAGGCGGCGUUGUAAGUGUCGGGUGAAAUCCCACGGCUCAACCGUGGAACUGCUUGGCAUACUGGCGGUCUUGAGCAACCUAGGGGCGAGCGGAACAAAUGGUGGAGCGGUGAAAUGCGUAGAUAUCAUUUGGAACGCCAAUGGUGAAAACAGCUCGCUGGGGGUUUGCUGACGCUGAGACACGAAAGCCAGGGGAGCAAACGGG
rnacentral:rRNA from 1 species